GCAGUACUCCCUCCGUCCGAAAAAGCUUGCCCCUCAAAUGAAUGUAUCUAGCACCAAGUUAGUGCUAGAUACAUCCAUUUGAGGGACAAGCUUGGGACAAGCUUUUUCGGACGGAGGGAGUAUGUU
rnacentral:pre_miRNA from 1 species